rnacentral:tRNA from 1 species
GGUCCUGUGGUGUAGUGGUUAUCACGUCUGCUUCACACGCAUAAGGUCGCCGGUUCGAUCCCGGCCAGGACCU